UACGGAGGAUCCAAGCGUUAUCCGGAUUUAUUGGGUUUAAAGGGUGCGUAGGUGGGAUAUUAAGUCAGUGGUGAAAGCCCGCAGCUCAACUGCGGAACUGCCAUUGAUACUGAUGUUCUUGAGUACAGAUGGGGUAGGCGGAAUGUAUCAUGUAGCGGUGAAAUGCUUAGAUAUGAUACAGAACACCAAUCGCGAAGGCAGCUUACCAAACUGUUACUGACACUGAGGCACGAAAGCAUGGGUAGCGAAC
rnacentral:rRNA from 1 species